AGAGUUUAUGGGGGAUACCUUGGCAUUCAGAAGCGAUGAAGGACGUGGUUACCGACGAAACGCUUCGGGGAGCUGGAAACAAGCUAUGAUCCGGAGAUCUCCGAAUGAGGAAACUCUAAUACUACUUAUUGAAUACAUAAAUAAGAAAGAGCGAACCUAGGGAACUGAAACAUCUUAGUACCUAGAGGAAAAGAAAGUAAAAACGAUUCCCUUAGUAGCGGCGAGCGAAAUGGGAACAGCCUAAACUUAAUUUUAAGGGUAGCGGGACAAUUAUUAAUGAUUAAAUGUGACAAUUAGACGAACUUAGAUGGAAUGCUAAACCAAAGAGAGUGAUAGUCUCGUAGUCGAAAAUUGAAACAAUCAAAUUGUAUCCCAAGUAGCAUGGAGCACGUGAAAUUCCGUGUGAAUCAGCGAGGACCACCUCGUAAGGCUAAAUAUUCCUGAAUGACCGAUAGUGAAAUAGUACCGUGAGGGAAAGGUGAAAAGAACCCCGGGAGGGGAGUGAAAAGAACAUGAAACCAUAAACUUACAACCAGUAGGAGGACGACUAAAACGUCUGACUGCGUGCCUGUUGAAGAAUGAGCCGGCGACUUAUAAGUAGUGGCAGGUUAAGGUAGAGAAUACCGGAGCCAUAGUGAAAGCGAGCCUGAAUAGGGCGUUUGUCACUGGUUAUAGACCCGAACCCGGAUGAUCUAACCAUGGCCAGGUUGAAGCUUAGGUAAUACUAAGUGGAGGACCGAACCGACUGAUGUUGAAAAAUCAGCGGAUGAGUUGUGGUUAGGGGUGAAAUGCCAAUCGAAUUCGGAGCUAGCUGGUUCUCCCCGAAAUGCGUUUAGGCGCAGCGAUGAAUGUUAUAGCUUAGGGGUAAAGCACUGUUACGUAUGCGGGCUGGUAAUUCGGUACCAAAUCGUUGCAAACUAAGAAUACUAAGUGUACAGUUCAUCAGUGAGACUGUGGGGGAUAAGCUCCAUUGUCAAGAGGGAAACAGCCCAGAGCACCAGUUAAGGCCCCUAAAUAAUUGCUAAGUGAUAAAGGAGGUGGGAGUGCAUAGACAAUCAGGAGGUUUGCUUAGAAGCAGCAAUCCUUUAAAGAGUGCGUAAUAGCUCACUGAUCGAGUAAACCUGCGCCGAAAAUGUACGGGACUAAGUAAUUUGCCGAAACUGUGCGAUAUAUAAAAUAUAUCGGUAGGGGAGCGUUCUGUUGUAGGUUGAAGUAUUAGCGGAAGCGGAUAUGGACGAAGCAGAAGUGAGAAUGUCGGCUUGAGUAACGAAAAUAUAGGUGAGAAUCCUAUACCCCGAAAACCCAAGGUUUCCUCCGGAAGGCUCGUCCGCGGAGGGUAAGUCAGGACCUAAGGCGAGGCUGAAAAGCGUAGUCGAUGGACAACGGGUUAAUAUUCCCGUACCAUUAUUUGUUGAUAUCGAGGGACGGAGAAGGCUAAGCUGGCCGGAUAUUGGUUACCGGUUUAAACGUUCGAGAUGAUGAGAAACGGCGAAAACGUUUUGAGUUGAGGCGUGAGUACGAGAUGCUACGGCAUUGAAGCAGUCUAUGUCAUACUUCCAAGAAAAGCUUGCACUGUCAUAAACAAAUAAUGCCUGUACCAUAACCGACACAGGUGGGUAGGUAGAGUAUACUAAGGGGCGCGAGAUAACUCUCUCUAAGGAACUCGGCAAAAUGACUCCGUAACUUCGGGAGAAGGAGUGCCUUAUUUAUAAGGUUGCAAUAACAAGAUCCAAGCAACUGUUUAUCAAAAACACAGGUCUCCGCUAAGUCGUAAGACGAUGUAUGGGGGCUGACGCCUGCCCAGUGCCAGAAGGUUAAAGAAGUUGGUUAGCAUUAGCGAAGCUGAUAACUGAAGCCCUGGUGAACGGCGGCCGUAACUAUAACGGUCCUAAGGUAGCGAAAUUCCUUGUCGGGUAAGUUCCGACCCGCACGAAAGGCGUAAUGAUUUGGAUACUGUCUCAGAGAGGGGCUCGGUGAAAUAGACUUGUCUGUGAAGAUGCGGACUACCUGCACCAGGACAGAAAGACCCUAUGAAGCUUUACUGUAACUUGAAAUUGAAAUUGGACUUUAUUUGCGCAGUAUAGGUGGGAGGCUUUGAAGGUAUUCUUGUGGGAAUACUGGAGCCAUCAGUGAGAUACCACUCUUGUAAUGUUAGAUUUCUAACUUUGAAUCAUUAUCUGGUCAAAGAACAGUUUCAGGCGGGCAGUUUGACUGGGGCGGUCGCCUCCUAAACGGUAACGGAGGCGCACAAAGGUUUCCUCUGAACGGGUAGAAAUCGUAUCUAGAGUGUAAAGGCAUAAGGAAGCUUGACUGUGAGACCUACAAGUCGAGCAGGGACGAAAGUCGGUCUUAGUGAUCUGACGGUGCUGAGUGGAAAGGCCGUCACUCAACGGAUAAAAGUUACUCUAGGGAUAACAGGCUGAUCUCCCCCAAGAGUUCACAUCGACGGGGAGGUUUGGCACCUCGAUGUCGGCUCAUCGCAUCCUGGGGCGGUAGUACGUCCCAAGGGUUGGGCUGUUCGCCCAUGAAAGCGGUACGCGAGCUGGGUUCAGAACGUCGUGAGACAGUUCGGUCCAUAUCCGGUGUAGGCGUUAGAAUAUUGAGAGGAGCCUUCUUUAGUACGAGAGGACCGAGAAGGACAUACCUAUGGUGUACCAGUUAUCGUGCCAACGGUAAACGCUGGGUAGCUAUGUAUGGAGUGGAUAACCGCUGAAAGCAUCUAAGUGGGAAGCCCACCUCAAGAUAAGUAUUCUCAUCACGUAAGUGAAUAAGGUCACGGUAAGACUAACCGUUUGAUAGGCAUUAAGUGUAAACCUAGUAAUAGGUGUGCUGAGAUGUACUAACAGACCGAAGACUUGAAUUUUUUUAAUACAAAAAUGCUUUUUAUAAAAGCAUUUUUUUGCUUUGGUGUUUUUAGUGUACUAAGCGGAACCACACUGAUCCAUCUCGAACUCAGUUGUGAAACGUUAUAAAUCGACGACAAUACUUGGAGGGGGACCUCCUGGGAAGAUAGUUCAAUGCCAAAGUUUUUAUCGAAAUCAGACUUCUAAAUAGAUUUAGUUCUACUCGUAAUUCUUCACCAGUCACUUCGACUAUAUUAGAUUUUCUAAAAUUGAUUCAAGUUCUAAAUACUACUUACUAAGAUAUUUGUAUUAAUUCAUUCUUUUUUGCGAAUAACAAGUAAUAAACAAAAGAAAGCUCUCUUUUUAGUUUAUCUACUCAGGCUUAAAAAUAGAAAAAGUUAAUAGUCAGAAAGAUUUCCUGUAGUUUAUAAUAAAUGAAGAUGGUAACUUAGAUUUUAAACGUUUCAUUUUAAUUAAAUAUACUAUAAUAUAUAGUGUAUUUAAUUAAAAUAUUUCAAAAGGAUUAUCACUUAUGGAUACUCGUUUAAUAGUCAUUGCUGCACCGGUAUUAGUUGCUGCAUCAUGGGCUUUAUUCAAUAUAGGUCGUUUAGCUAUUCAACAAAUUCAACGCUUAAAACGUUAAUUUUCCAAAUUCGAAUCAAACAAAAAAGUUAGAGUCAGAUUUGACUUCUCAAAAAAUUUAAAGUAUUAAUAAUAAAAUUAUAAAAAAUUAUGUCUCAUACGGUAAAAAUUUACGACACAUGUAUUGGUUGUACGCAAUGUGUAAGAGCAUGUCCUACAGAUGUAUUAGAGAUGGUACCUUGGGAUGGUUGUAAAGCGGGUCAAAUCGCGUCAUCACCGCGUGUCGAAGAUUGUGUAGGUUGUAAAAGAUGUGAAACUGCUUGUCCUACAGAUUUUUUAAGUGUACGCGUAUACUUGGGUGCAGAAACGACUAGAAGUUUAGGUCUAGCAUAUUAGAUUUCCUUUUCUUAACGAUUGGACUCUCAAUCCUUUAAAUUUUAUAAAAUUUAAAGGAUUGAGAGUCCAAUCGUUAAAUUAAUUUACUAAUUUGUUCUAAUGGUGAGCUUGCGUCGGCAUAAUAUUUUUUUUCCAUUCUGCCCGCUAAAUAGGCUAAGCGACCAGCUUGGACACCCAAUCGCAUUGCGGAUGCCAUCUGUGACGGAUUUUUUGAUUGUGCUACAGCUGUAUUUAGAAGAACUCCAUCUGCUCCUAAUUCCAUAGCUUGCGUAGCUUCACUUGGUGUACCAAUGCCAGCAUCAAUAAUUACAGGGACACUCGCAUUUUCAAUGAUAAUUUUAAUAUUUGCUAGAUUGUUUAAUCCUUGCCCAGAGCCGAUUGGUGAUGCUAAAGGCAUAACAGUCGCACAUCCUAAAUCUUCUAAGUGUAAAGCAAGCAUAGGAUCUGCAUUUAUAUAAGGCAAAACAGUGAAGCCUUUUCUAAUAAGAAAUUCAGCAGCUUUUAAAGUACCAAUGGGGUCUGGUAAUAAAUAUUUUGGAUCAGAAAUAACUUCUAGCUUAACAAAAAAAUUAUCUUCUUGUCCAACUUGACAAGCUAAUUCAUGACCCAAAAAUGCCAUUCUAAUAGCUUCUUCAGCUGUCUGUGAUCCAGCCGUAUUUGGAAGUAACCAAAGCUUAUUCCAGUCUAAUUUGUUUAAAAAAUUUAUAUUAUCAUUUUUUAAAUUUACGGGUAAACGUCGAAUUGCUACAGUGACAAUGUCACAAUUACUAUCCUCGAUACUUGCUAUCGCGCUUUGUGUAGUUCUAUAUUUACCAGUUCCCAACAUCAAACGUGAAUUAAAAGACUUAUUGCCAAUUUUUAAUUUAUCAAGAUUAUUAGUCAUUAGUUUAUUUUUACUGUAAAUAACUCCCCAGGUAGGACUUGAACCUACGACCAAUCGGUUAACAGCCGAUUGCUCUACCACUGAGCUACUGAGGAUGUAUUAAUUAGCGAGAGCAUAACACAUUCUAUCUCAAAUUACAAAUAAUUUUAUUAAAAAUAUUUAAUAAAAUUAUAAUUGUUUGUUAAAAACUAGGAAUCGUAAAACAUUUGAAUCCAUUUUCAGUGUCUUUGAAAAGUUCGUAAUAUAUUUGGGCAUACUGGAAAAAUUAAGUUGAAUAUAAUUUCCUUUCAUCUUUGUUUCAAUCGGAUAUGCUAGAUUAUGCUUCCCACGCGAAAUAACCGAAAUAUCACAAACACUGAAUUUUCUUAAAUUUUUUGCAUAAUUGAAAACCCAUGUUUUUAAUUCGCUAUCAUUAAAUUCUUCGGUUAAGAGAAUCAUUAUUUCAUAUUUUCUUAGUAAGGGCAUUGCAUUUUAAUUAAAUAAAUAAUAAAUAUAUACUACUUCGAAAUAGAAAUUAAUGUCAAUUAUAAUUUUUUAUUCUUUUUAAUUAGUAAUAUAAUUUUUAAAAUCAAUUUUAAUAAGUAAUAAAAUGAAUAAAAUAGCCAAAAUACGGUACUUUUUUAGUAGAAUAGUAUACUACAAGAUAAUUUAUAUAAAAUUUUUUAUUGGAGAAAUUUCAUGGAUUGGAAUGAAAUUCAAAAUUUUUCAUCAAAUAUAGUUUUUGGCGUUUUAUUGUUAGCAAUGAUAACCUAUUGGAUAAAUUUAUCUUUGUUUACCGAUUCCAUUAUAUUAACAAAAAUUGGUCGAUUUAGUACAAUAAUUGCAAAUGGACUCUUAUUUUUUAUUCUUUGUUCACGAUGGAUUGUAGCAGGUUAUUUUCCAUUAAGUAAUUUGUAUGAAUCAUUGUUGUUUUUAACAUGUAUGCUAUUAACAAUUUAUUUGUAUAUUGAAGUUAAAACAAAUAGUAAGUUAAUUGGUUCUGUAUUAAUUCCCGUAACUUUAUUAAUUAGCGGGUUUGCAAAUUUAACGCUCUCUCCUGAGAUGCAAAAAUCAAGUCCCUUAGUUCCAGCUUUACAAUCAAAUUGGUUAAUGAUGCAUGUUAGUAUGAUGUUGU
rnacentral:rRNA from 1 species